rnacentral:rRNA from 1 species
GACGAACGCUGGCGGCGUGCCUAAUACAUGCAAGUUGAGCGAUGAAGAUUGGUGCUUGCACCAAUUUGAAGAGCAGCGAACGGGUGAGUAACGCGUGGGGAAUCUGCCUUUGAGCGGGGGACAACAUUUGGAAACGAAUGCUAAUACCGCAUAACAACUUUAAACAUAAGUUUUAAGUUUGAAAGAUGCAAUUGCAUCACUCAAAGAUGAUCCCGCGUUGUAUUAGCUAGUUGGUGAGGUAAAGGCUCACCAAGGCGAUGAUACAUAGCCGACCUGAGAGGGUGAUCGGCCACAUUGGGACUGAGACACGGCCCAAACUCCUACGGGAGGCAGCAGUAGGGAAACUUCGGCAAUGGACGAAAGUCUGACCGAGCAACGCCGCGUGAGGGAAGAAGGUUUUCGGAUCGUAAAACUCUGUUGGUAGAGAAGAACGUUGGUGAGAGUGGAAAGCUCAUCAAGUGACGGUAACUACCCAGAAAGGGACGGCUAACUACGUG